GGUGCUAAAAGGACAAUACUGUAAUUGACAUUUGUGAAAAGUGUAGAUUUUCCCACUUCUCUCUCUGAGAACCUGGAUGGAAGUAUUUCACUCUUUUUGCUCUGAAUUAUGUGGCAAAUCAUUGGUUUUGAGCUUUCUAGAUUAUGGGAACACUGUGAAAGUGUGGAAGUGCGGGGGAGGAGAUUAAAAAACACAAGUUUCCGUUUCAGUUGUCAGCUUCAUUUUUCUAAGCAUAGCUUCAGUUGAAUUACCAGCAAUCACAAACCAUCCAAGUGAACACCUUUAGGUUACAAUUCCGGAGGGCUGGAGGUGGUGGUGCUGCUCUCUGUGUUUGCUCUCUGACAAUCUCUGCUCUCCUGUCCCUUCAGUCUUGGUGGAAUACCUCAAACACCAUCAGACCACAUACUAUAUGAAAAGCAGCUGAAUGGGAAUUUGGAGCACAGUGUCCUCUCCUAUGCAAUACAGCAUUCUUGCCAAUCUGAGAUAAACCUUUCCCUCGCUCUCCUGCCCUCCUCUGCUCCAUGAACUGAGCUCAUGUCUGCUGUGGCACUUUGGUGGAGCAAUGAAGGAACAUGUUAUGAGAAGAAGAUAAAGGAUAAAGUUCAAUAAACCAGAGACUAGGCUUCCAAGGAAAGUAUAUGAAGAAUGUGAUCAUAAUCUAUCUGUAAAGUGAAUGAACAAUAGAGAUCAGAAGCCAUUUAAACCAACGGGACUCUUUUUCCAGAAUGCAUACAGAGCAUCCAGGAGAACUCGAAAAUGCACAGAAAAAAAGAAGAAAAAAGAAUUAAAAAAAAAAAAAAAAAAAAA